rnacentral:rRNA from 1 species
GAUGAACGCUGGCGGCGUGCCUAAUACAUGCAAGUCGAGCGAACAGACGAGGAGCUUGCUCCUCUGACGUUAGCGGCGGACGGGUGAGUAACACGUGGAUAACCUACCUAUCAGACUGGGAUAACUUCGGGAAACCGGAGCUAAUACCGGAUAACAUGUUGAACCGCAUGGUUCAACAGUGAAAGACGGUUUUGCUGUCACUUAUAGAUGGAUCCGCGCCGCAUUAGCUAGUUGGUAAGGUAACGGCUUACCAAGGCAACGAUGCGUAGCCGACCUGAGAGGGUGAUCGGCCACACUGGAACUGAGACACGGUCCAGACUCCUACGGGAGGCAGCAGUAGGGAAUCUUCCGCAAUGGGCGAAAGCCUGACGGAGCAACGCCGCGUGAGUGAAGAAGGUCUUCGGAUCGUAAAACUCUGUUAUUAGGGAAGAACAAAUGUGUAAGUAACUAUGCACGUCUUGACGGUACCUAAUCAGAAAGCCACGGCUAACUACGUG